CUAUGGAAGAGCUCUCUUUUCUUCACAGCCAGUGUGGUGUAGUCGUUAACGCAUCGGACAAAAGCGUGGAACACUUGGGUCAAAAUCCCCAAUCGGCCGUGAAGGAUACGGGUGAUCCUGGGCUGGCCAUAAUAUUUGUGAUCUACCUUGCCAGCAUUUUGUGAGGAAACUGUGAGAAGGAGGAAAGCCAUGCAAAAUAGUUCCAUCUUUGAACUCUUCAAGAAACAGUAAAAACAGAAAACCAGGAUUCUGAUCCUAAUUAGAGAAAACGUAUUUCCCACCCCCAAGCCUUCUAGAAGCAACAGGGAUCCAGGCCUUUUCUCUGCCUCUUUGGUAAACCUGGCACUGAGGGCAGUUCUCCAGCCAUCUUGAGGAAGCCCUGCUGCCAUGUCCGUCUUCAUCCUCUAUUAGAUGCUGCCGCCGAUGACCACGAGCCCGUCUCCCAAAUGUGCUUCCAAAGACAACUGACACAGGGCAAUGUACAAAUUCCUUUAUUCCGUUAUUUCUCCAAAGACUAGUUAGAGCAGAAUGGUCACCAUAGGGUGGAUGGAUGGAGCCCCUCAAAUUUGCACUGCCCCCUAUGCCUGCAUCCUCUGCCCCACACAGGCAGGGAAAGGGGAGUGGCUGGCUCCCUGCUUACCUCCCUCCCCUAGGUUAAAGGAAAGACAGACUGAUGCACAAGCCCCCCACCCCCAGCUUUGAAGCCAUGUGCUUCACUGCCUUUGGUUUCUGUUCUCUGAGGUCCCCCUGCAACGAUCAGCCUGACAGGCCACUAGAAGGCUCAGUCCGCACCAGAUCCUUCCCUGGGGGAUCCCACUGAGCACGCUUUGCCCCAUCCCUGUGACAGACACCCUUCCGAGGUGCAAGUGGGAUGACUAGCUGAUCAGACACAAUGACUCUAAGGAAGCAGAAUGGAUCACAUAAUGGAUCACACAAUGCAAGAGGUUAGCGCAGAGGGCAGCUCGCACUCCUGACCCUUUGCACAAGUUAGUGACAGGCAAGCAGACACAGAGAAAUCCAUGCAUGUGAGAACUAGGCAGGGCCCCUCUGGCAAUGCUCUUGACCAGGCUGGGAAGGGGGACAAGGGUGAAUUUGAAGGCUGAAAUCUGUCCAUUCCGCUGUGCCGGAACUGAGCCCCCAAGGGACAUCCCACUCUGGAAAGAAAUAAAAAAUGCUUGGAAUACACACAGGGGCACAUUAGGACAGACACACUGGUGGACAAAAAGACUUGAGCAUUUUGCCUGAUUUGAGGCUGAGACAUACACAUCAUACCUACCAAGAUGUGUGAUGUGUAGUGACAUGGUCACAUGUACGUGGCUCACUUUGCCUGCAUUGCCACAUGCCCACAGAAAUAUGCCCCCAUUUGUAAAGAACCAGUCUCUUUCCCUCUCUCUCUCUCUCACACACACACACACACAUACACACACACACACAAACACACAAACACACAUGCAGUACUGCAAAUGUUCAUUCCUAUAAAUGUGCGUAUUUUCCACACACAAUUACAAGGAUACACAUGAUUGUGUAGACACAAGCAUGCAUUCAGAAGUUUUUAUGAUACGCACCAGAUAUCAUAAAAGAGAGUACAGGAUUCUAGAAAGACAGAAGUUCAAUGUCCUUUAUCUAUGUGAUGAUGGGGAGAGGCUGUACUGCCCCUUUCCAAUCCCACUUCUGCCUCCUUCUCUCCCCCCUCCCAAUACCAAACUGCACCUUCUUAUUAGCUAACAAGAAUGAUGAAGCACUGGAAAUGGUGGUUUUUCCGGCUUAUUUCCACGCCUUGCGAACUGCUGUCUUGCAGCUCCCUCCAGUGCCAUGGAGCUAAUGCUAAAACCUUGUUGUCUUUAUAGGAAGGCCCACACAAUGGUUCUUCCCAACACCAGCUUUAUCUCUCUCCACCCCCCAAGAUUCAUGCUGGUGUGGGGAGGAGCCAUAGAUUAGGCAUGUUUUGUGAGGUCUGGAACAGCUCAUUUCACCUUAGUGAUGCAGGAGACACACAUCACAAAGGUCACAUGAGAAGAUCCCCCAUUACGUGGCCCCCAUGGAGGUUGCCACAUGGCGAAGCCAGGUUUCAUCCUUUCGUGGUGGCCACAGCCAUGCAAAGGCCCUUCAACAGUGCUUACUUAGGACAGGCCAAUGGGCAGAAGCUUUGCCGCCCAUGGCAUUCAGGGGCUCACGGGCAUCCAGCAGCCUGCUUGGAGGGAUGGGAGUACCCAACCUAUGAGGGUGCAGUGGCCCUAAACACAUUGAGAGCAUCAGCAGCGCCACCUUAAGGUGAGAUGCUGGCUUCAGCAUCAGCCCUUUGCCCCAUGUGAGAGGUGGAUUUAUUGCAGUUUUUCAACAUGCAGCCAGGAGGAUCAAGUAGAUGGAGGACAUGUACCAACCCAGGCAAAGGAGUGACAGUAUGAUACAGGAGUCCCUGCCAGCCACCAGUAUGGAGCUUUCAGCGCUCCCAUUGGUCAGUCAUGCCACACACUCUGCCCUGUGAGAUGACAGCACACACAAUGGCAAGCCAUACCAUGUGCUUUGUGGACAAACAAUGGAUUAAUGGGCCAGCUCUCUCCAUUUCCAGCCUGCUCCUAUUUCCACUCUGCCUGUGGUCCCUAUGCCCGCCCCCCCAGCCCUGGGCUCCAUGGGGCCAUACGGUGACCAUCGAGUGAGUGACUAGCAGAGACAAUAAGACAUAUGAUAGGCAUUGUGGGUGAUUUACCCUGUUACAGAGACACCAAUGAGGAAACACGCACGGGCCACACAGUGGGCGGCCAGAGACACAGACAAGCAGGCUAGGGGACAAGGAGGGGGGCUCCCCCCUAACCCAGGACGCUCCUUUGUACAAGAUGAGCGAGCGUGGCCUGCCAGAGUUUUUAGUAUCGAUAGUAUUGCAGUCUAACUGAUAUGGCUUUAACUAUUAGGGAGGGAAGGUAGGUAGGCAGGAAGGAUAGGUGGAUGCUGGAUACAGGGCAGUCACCCCCCAGUUCAAACUCAACCCCAACAAUGAAAGCGAAAGCCCAUGGGUACCAGGACACCCUUGGCAGGGAGGCAUGAUCAGGACCUUCCUUCCUCAACCAAACUAUGUACAGAAGAGACCCACAGAACUUCCCCAAGGAAGGCUGGGCUCUUGACUGGUUGCUUUCACUGCUGGCAAAGGACUGUUGGGUGUUGGGCAAGGAAGAAGCCAGCCAGAAGCUCGUUGCUCUGGUGUGUGGCUCUGGAGGAGGAACUGGGGAGUCAGGGGCAGGGAGUGUAUUCCAUGACAGCACAGCCAAGGGGAAGACCUGGCUGUGUGCUAGGGGAGUCUGGAGAUCACCACAUCUGUCGGCUGAACCAGGCUGUGGCAGUGGAAGAGUGGAGAGUCUUCCCACAGGCUAUGAGGCAGCUCUUCUCUUAAACCGGGGUGUGUGUGUGUGUGUGUGUGUGUGUGUGUGUGUGUGUGUGUGUGUG